GAUCAUGGCUCAGGAUGAACGCUAGCGACAGGCUUAACCCACAUGCAAGUCGAGGGGCAUCAUGAGGUAGCAAUACCUUGAUGGCGACCGGCGCACGGGUGAGUAACGCGUAUGCAACCUGCCUGAUACCGGGGUAUAGCCCAUGGAAACGUGGAUUAACACCCCAUAGUACUUUUAUCCUGCAUGGGAUGUGAGUUAAAUGUUUAAGGUAUCGGAUGGGCAUGCGUCCUAUUAG
rnacentral:rRNA from 1 species